rnacentral:rRNA from 1 species
GACGAACGCUGGCGGCGUGCCUAAUACAUGCAAGUAGGACGCAGUUGCGAAUGGGUGAGUAAUGCGUAGGCACCUACCUAUUAGAGGGGGAUAACAAUUGGAAACGAUACUUAAUACCGCAUACUAGCAGACGGACCUGUGUGUUAUUAGCUUGUAGGUAGGGUAAUGGCCUACCUAGGCAACGAUACAUAGCCGACCUGAUAGGGUGCUCGGCCACACUGGGACGUAGACACGGCGCAGACGCCUACGGGAGGCAGCAGUAGGGAAUCUUCGGCAAUGGGGGGAACCCUGACCGAGCAACGCUGCGUGAGUGAAGAAGGUUUUCGGAUCGUAAAGCUCUGUUGUUAAAGAAGCGGUACUUAACCAGAAAGGGACGGCUAACUACGUGCCAGCCGCCGCGGUAAUUC